UACGAAGGGGCUAGCGUUGUUCGGAAUUACUGGGCGUAAAGAGCUCGUAGGCGGUCUGUCGCGUCUGCUGUGAAAACUCGGGGCUUAACCCCGGGCCUGCAGUGGGUACGGGCAGACUAGAGUGCGGUAGGGGAGACUGGAAUUCCUGGUGUAGCGGUGAAAUGCGCAGAUAUCAGGAGGAACACCGGUGGCGAAGGCGGGUCUCUGGGCCGUAACUGACGCUGAGGAGCGAAAGCGUGGGGAGCGAACAGG
rnacentral:rRNA from 1 species